rnacentral:rRNA from 1 species
UACGGAGGGUGCGAGCGUUAUCCGGAAUUACUGGGUUUAAAGGGUGCGUAGGCGGCGCAGUAAGUCAGGAGUGAAAGUUUGCGGCUCAACCGUAAAAUUGCUUUUGAUACUGCUGUGCUAGAAUUAGGAUGAGGUCAGCGGAAUGUGGCAUGUAGCGGUGAAAUGCAUAGAUAUGCCAUAGAACACCAAUUGCGAAGGCAGCUGGCUAGACCUAUAUUGACGCUGAGGCACGAAAAGCGUGGGGGAGCGAACAGG